rnacentral:rRNA from 1 species
UACAGAGGGUGCGAGCGUUGUUCGGAAUUAUUGGGCGUAAAGCGCUUGUAGGCGGCCUGUUAAGUUCCGUGUGAAAUCCCCUGGCUUAACCAGGGAAGUGCGCGGAAAACUGGCGGGCUUGAGUGCCGGAGAGGGUCGCGGAAUUCCCGGUGUAGAGGUGAAAUUCGUAGAUAUCGGGAGGAACACCAGUGGCGAAGGCGGCGACCUGGACGGACACUGACGCUGAGACGCGAAAGCGUGGGUAGCAAACAGG